GACGAACCGAGCGAACGUUGUCCGGAAUUAUUGGGCGUAAAGCGCGCGCAGGCGGUCCUUUAAGUCUGAUGUGAAAGCCCACGGCUCAACCGUGGAGGGUCAUUGGAAACUGGGGGACUUGAGUACAGAAGAGAAGAGUGGAAUUCCCGGUGUAGUGGUGAAAUGCGUAGAUAUCGGGAGGAACACCAGUGGCGAAGGCGACUACCUGGCCUGUUCUUGACGCUGAGGCGCGAAAGCUAGGGGAGCAAACGGG
rnacentral:rRNA from 1 species